rnacentral:rRNA from 1 species
AAAGUUUGAUCAUGGCUCAGGAUGAACGCUAGCUACAGGCUUAACACAUGCAAGUCGAGGGGCAGCAUGAACUUAGCUUGCUAAGUUUGAUGGCGACCGGCGCACGGGUGAGUAACACGUAUCCAACCUUCCGUUUACUCAGGGAUAGCCUUUCGAAAGAAAGAUUAAUACCUGAUAGUAUGGUGAGAUUGCAUGAUAGCACCAUUAAAGAUUUAUUGGUAAACGAUGGGGAUGCGUUCCAUUAGG